ensembl:lncRNA
CUUUAUUUAAUCCAAUCAAACAUUUAUCAGUUAUCAGUUUAUUUUAUCCAAUCACAUCAUCAGCUGGUUUUAUUAAUUACCAGAUCUCGUUGUUAUCAAUCUGUUUUAUCCACUCUCGGCUUCCACAGCCUGGCUCCUCUCCUCCUCUGGGAUCCCAGACAGAUCCCAGACAGAUCCCAGACAGAUCCCUGCCCUGGAAUCCUUUAUGGGAUCCCUUUUCCCCUGCAGGGCUCCCUCUGCCAGGAUCCCUCUCCAGGAGUCCCAGAGGCUCCCUUUGCCAGGAUCUCUUUUUUUGGGAUCCCUUCCCCAGGAUCCAUUUACUGGGAUCCCUUUCCUAAGGAUCCCUUUUCCGAGGAUCCCUUUCCUGGGAUCCCUUCCCCAGGGAUCCCUUUCCUGAGAUCCCUUCCCCAAGUUCCAUUUCCCGGGAUCCCUUUCCCAAGGGUUCCAUUUCCAGGGAUCCCUUCCCCAAGGAUCCCAUUCCCAGGUUCCCUUUCCCAGGUUUCAUUUCCCAGGAUCCCUUUCCCAAGGAUCCAUUUCCUGGGAUCCCUUUCCUGAGGGUCCCUUUCCUGAGAUCCCUUCUCCAAGUUCCAUUUCCCAGGAUCCCUUUCCCAAGGAUCCAUUUACUGGGAUCCCCUUUCCCAGGGAUCCAUUUCCCGGGAUCCCUUCCCCAGGAUCCAUUUCCUGGGAUCCAUUUCCCAAGAUCCCAUUCCUGGGAUCCAUUUCCCAGGAUCCCUUCUCCAGGGAUCCCUUUCCCAGGAUCCCUUCCCCAAGGAUCCCAUUCCCGGGAUCCCUUCCCCGAGAUCCCUUCCCCAGGGAUCCAUUUCCUGAGAUCCCAUUCCCAUGAUCCCUUUCCCAGGAUCCCUUCCCAAGGAUCCCAUUCCCGGGAUCCCUUCCCAGGUUCCAUUUCCCAGGAUCCCUUCCCCAAGGAUCCCAUUCCCAUGAUCCCAUUCCCAAGGAUCCCUUUCCCAGGAUCCCAUUCCCAUGAUCCCAUUCCCGAGAUCCCUUUCCCAGGAUCCCUUUCCCAGGAUCCCAUUCCCAGGAUCCCUUCCCCAGGGAUCCCUUCCCAAGGUUCCAUUCCCCGAGAUCCCUUUCCUGGGAUCCCUUCCCAAGGACCCCAUUCCCGGGAUCCAUUUCCCAGGAUCCCUUCUCCAGGGAUCCCUUCCCAAGGUUCCAUUCCCCGAGAUCCCUUUCCUGGGAUCCCUUCCCAAGGAUCCCAUUCCCAGGAUCCCUUCCCCAAGGACCCCAUUCCCAGGAUCCAUUUCCCAGGAUCCCUUCUCCAGGGAUCCCUUUCCCAUGAUCCCAUUCCCGGGAUCCCAUUCCCAGGAUCCCAUUCCCAUGAUCCCAUUCCCAUGAUCCCUUCCCAAGGAUCCCAUUCCCGGGAUCCCUUCCCCGUCCUCUCCGGGCUCCAUCUCCCCUGUGCCCUCCCUCACUUCCCUCCUUCCCUUGCAGCCUCUGGAGCUGCUGUGUGAGAAAUCCAUCGGGACGGCGAACCGGCCGAUGGGCGCGGGCGAGGCUCUGCGCCGCGUGCUGGAGUGCCUGGCCUCGGGCAUCGUCAUGCCAGGUGAGCAGCUCCGGACACCUGAGCUCCUCCAGACAGGUGAGCAGCUCCGGCCAGGUGAGAUCUGGCCAGGUGAGCAGCUCCGGACACCUGAGCUCCUCCAGACAGGUGAGCUCCAGAGAGCUGAGCUCUGGCCAGGUGAGCUCCUCGGCCAGGUGAGCUCCGGCCAGGUGAGCAGCUCUGGCCAGGUGAGCUCUGGCCAGGUGAGAUCUGGCCAGGUGAGCUCCUCGGCCAGGUGAGCUCCGGCCAGGUGAGCAGCUCUGGCCAGGUGAGCAGCUCCGGCCAGGUGAGCUCUGGCCAGGUGAGAUCUGGCCAGGUGAGCUCCUCGGCCAGGUGAGCUCUGGCCAGGUGAGCAGCUCCGGCCAGGUGAGCUCCUAUGGCCAGGUGAGCUCCUAUGGCCAGGUGAGAUCUGGCUGGGUGAGCUCCGGCCAGGUGAGCUCCGGCCAGUGAGCUCCAGAGAGCUGAGCUCCGGCAGGUGAGCUCCUCUGGCCAGCUGAGCUCCUCUGGCCAGGUGAGCUCCGGCCAGCUGAGCUCCUCUGGCCAGGUGAGCUACUCUGGCCAGGUGAGCUCUGGCCAAGUGAGCUCCAGCCACCUGAGCUCCGGCCAGCUGAGCUUCUCUGGCCAGGUGAGCUCCUCCAGCCAGCUGAGCUCCGGCCAGCUGAGCUUCUCUGGCCAGGUGAGCUCCUCCAGCCAGGUGAGCUCCUCUGGCCAGGUGAGCUCCGGCCACCUGAGCUCCGGCCAGGUGAGCUCCGGCCCGCUGAGCUCCGGCCAGGUGAGCUACUCUGGCCAGGUGAGCUCCUCCAGCCAGGUGAGCUCCGGCCAGCUGAGCUCCAGCCAGGUGAGCUCCUCUGGCCAGGUGAGCUCUGGCCAGGUGAGCUCCGGCCAGCUGAGCUCCGCCCGCAGCAGCGGAG